CCCCCUCCCUUAUUUCAUCGACCCAAACACCCCUGUCUAUCAGAAGACCCAAACCUAACCCUAGCUGAGCUGCCCCUAAAUACACCACCGUCCGGGGCGGCGCCACCUCCAAACGCCACCAAAACAACACCCCAUGACCCCCUCACGCCCCUCUUUCUAAAUCCCGGACCAAUUUCCUUCGAAUCUGCCCAGAGCUCCGUGAAUCUUAACUCUGGGGUCAACCCCAAAAGUUCAAAAUCAGUUUUCUGUCAAUCCUGGUAGCAUGCAUGUUCGGGAGGUGCUGUUCUAUCAAGCUUUGAGGUUCGGACUAGGCGAAACAGAUGUCGCUCAGUUGUUCUUGACAAAGAACAAAGGAUCAACAUAAGUUUGGCCUAGUUCUUUAUGUCUGCCCAAUUUCGAGUCCGAUUGGUGAGUUUCUAUUCCUCAGCAUGACCUAUUGUGUUUUAUUUCACCUUUCUGUCCCUCUUCUUUUCUUAUCCUUUCCUCUGUUUAAAGACUUGACUUAUCUUCCGAUGUUUUGAGUUGUCUUCUGUUCCCUAUAUUUUUCUUUCAAGUCCCUUUAAAAAUAUGUGUGUUCUUGAUUUGUUGGGUUAUAGUCAAGCCUCUGAUUUUCUCCCGUUUAUGUUGGCCUCAUUAGUUUAAUUUAAUUAGUUUAAUCUCGUUUAUUUAUUGGGUUAGUUAAUUCCUUGUUGGUUUGUAUGGGUUAAUCAAUCAACCAGUUCAGUUUUAAGAAGUCGUUUGUGUGAUUAUUUUUGUUGUUACCAAUUUAGUUGGGUUCAUUUAGCUAUUUGGGCUUUGGGUCUGACCCAUCUAUAAAGGAAGGGCAGCCCGUUCUCUUCAUUCAGUCGUGGGUUAAUUUGACCCAUGUCUCAUUUGGGGUUUAAGGUAAAUAGCAGGGGUACGAGGGUUAAUUUAGGUAGUCUUAGUGAGGGAAUCUACUUGUAACUGUCUAGGAAGCUUCUAGAAAGUUGGGGGGGGGACUAUUUGGCAAAAUCUGAAUUUCAACUAGGGGUGUUAAGCUAAAAUGAAAAUUAAUAAGGGACCAAAAGGCAAAAAAUAAACUCAUGACGCUUGCCCUAAUGCCUUGCCUAUAAAGGCAUCUCUAUCUUGCCUUUCAAGGCAGGGAUUCAGGAGCUAAAAUACAGACCCAAGAGACUUGAAAGAGAAUAAAAAUUCUGGAAAACAAAAACAGCUGAAACUUCUGCAGAAAAUACUAUUUUAUUGGGUUUGAGCUUCAUAAUCUGAAAUCCUCUUCUUCUUGAAUCGAUUUUCCUCAUUGUUUGAGCUUAGAAAUGGUUUGAAACUUAGUCAUUAAGGUUGGUUCUGAGGUCAGCUGAUUUAAUUGGGUAUUUGAGACUGGUUUCUGGGCUGCAGUACUUCAUUUCUGGGUUUCGAACAUGCUUUGUUGGUUUGUUUCUAUUACUGGAACUUGCUGCUGAUCCCUGCUGUCUACUGCUGAUCCCUGCCGUCUACUGCUGAUUCUCCCUUUUUCUUAUUUCGUUUAAUUCCAGGUAUUCCCUGAUUCUAUAGGAGAUGAAAUGCAACUCUGAGAGCUAUAAUUACGUGAAGAUCCUCGUGAAUGAAUACUGUUUUCCUUUUAAUCAUCAAUAUUAGUUGUUUACUUGCAAUUUUUGGAGUUUAGUGGUAUAUUGUAAUGGCAUUUAGUCUGAUCUGUCCAUUUUAAUAUAACAGUAGUAUGUUAUUCCUUAGAAAACUCAUGUUGCCUUUCGUUUGUGAUGAAGCACAUGGUCUGAUGGUUUGAUUGCAUGUAAGUAGUUCAGGACAUUUGGAUCUUGUAUAUAGGGAUUGUGAUUUGAGUUAUUCACUGUUUGUUAUGCAUAUGUUCCAG
rnacentral:lncRNA from 1 species